AAAUCUAAGUGUUUUCUUGAUGGCGAGCCCUGCCAUUCACUUUUGGAAGAUAUUACUGAGAGGUGGACGUUGGGCAGUGCUGGAACUGGGCUGUUGGAUUUUGCAAUGAUUCUUGGACAAUGAGAAAUGACAUGCUGGUUAACUCCAAGAAAUUUUUUCUACUUUUUUGUGUCAAGAAGGCUACUGGUGUCAUCUCAAGACCUCUUCCCCACUAUUAUCUCAGUAUACAGAAAGGCCUCUAGGCCAGAUGGGGGUGUUUCUAGAUUAUGAAUGUGGCAUGGUAAGCUUUGUUAAUGUGGCCAACAGUUUUCUCAUC
rnacentral:lncRNA from 1 species